rnacentral:rRNA from 1 species
GACGAACGCUGGCGGCGUGCCUAAUACAUGCAAGUCGAGCGCAGGAAAUCGACGGAACCCUUCGGGGGGAAGUCGACGGAAUGAGCGGCGGACGGGUGAGUAACACGUAAAGAACCUGCCCUCAGGUCUGGGAUAACCACGAGAAAUCGGGGCUAAUACCGGAUGGGUCAUCGGACCGCAUGGUCCGAGGAUGAAAGGCGCGUCGGCGGCGCCCGGGGAUGGCCUUGCGGUGCAUUAGCUAGUUGGUGGGGUAAUGGCCCUCCAAGGCGACGAUGCAUAGCCGACAUGAGAGGGUGAUCGGCCACACUGGGACUGAGACACGGCCCAGACUCCUACGGGAGGCAGCAGUAGGGAAUCUUCCACAAUGGACGAAAGUCUGAUGGAGCAACGCCGCGUGAACGAUGAAGGCCUUCGGGUCGUAAAGUUCUGUUGUAAGGGAAGAACAAGUGCCGCAGGCAAUGGCGGCACCUUGACGGUACCUUGCGAGAAAGCCACGGCUAACUACGUGCCAGCAGCCGCAGUAA